rnacentral:ncRNA from 1 species
UGUCUUCGGGGCGGGGUGCAAUUCCCCACCGGCGGUAAUGGGGCGUUUGCCCUGAGCCCGCGAGCCUGAGAGGGCCGAUUCCGGUGCGAUCCCGGAGCCGACGGUUACAGUCCGGAUGGAAGAAG